UGUAAUUUUGUGAAAUUCAUGUCUAUAAAUAGAAAUCUGGACUUUCCAUUUCGGGAAAGCCCCGAAAAUUUCCAGUUUUCUUUCUCUCGCGGACAUAACUUUCCGACGUCGCUGCCGCCUCGUCCGGCCACCUACGGCCAUGAAAUUGGUGUCCAUCUCUUCGUCUUGAAACAAGGUUUCUAUCUAUAUAUGCCUUGCACCCUAUCAUUCACCAUAGACGACGAAUCGAAGCCAACAAGUUCACUGUAGCAGCUCGGGUUUUCUGGAAAAAUUUUCCAGAUUCCGGCCAUCUCCGGCAGCAUUUUUGAGCUUGAUCGAUGCGCCUCGAGACAUGGAUGAUAUCCCUCCAAGCUUUUUUCCACAAAUCAAAGUGAAAUUGACGAAUCGAAGGUUUGAAUUUCUGGGUACUAUUUGGAAUAUCGGGUUUUACUGUUUGAGCUUAGUUUCGGGUAUUUUCAUGUGUUUUCUGACUUUGUGGUAGUUGAGAAAGAUGUUUGGAUGGUUGAGACGAAGCUGCUGCCAAAAUUUGGUGGCCGGAGGAGGAGGUUGCCGGUGUGUGAACAGUGCGGUGGAACAGUGAUUGCGGGCGAUAUACCGAGUUAUUGGUCGACGAAAGAACUUGUAUGCGUGAUCGCCUCAAUAGUACUUUUUAAAUGCCCAGUUUGCAGGCCAGUUUAGCUUGAGGUCGAGCGUACUUGGGGUUGAGGCAUAGCUGUCAUAGCUUCAGCAUUAUAAAAGUAUCAGUCCUUUAUCUUAUAGUUUAUCAUCUUGUACGCCUGUACACUAGAUUGCUCUGAUAACCCAAGAUAUUAAUAUUCUUAAGUUCAGAAUUGUUUGUGAAAUUGGAGAUGUUGUGAUAUAGG